AUUUUCAGUUGUCCCUGUUCUCUCCAGAUCUCUGGUCAUGCUAAAUUACUCUUCCCAUGCUUACCUUCCAUGGCUAGUAAUCAAUAGAACAGGUAAGUAAAGUAAGUCGCCGCUUCGUGUCCCCAUACACAGUGAGGUGUUGUGAAAUGCAUGUUUUGUAAUGGAGAUGGAUCUACAGUGUAACAUAUGAUUCUAUUAGCGUUUGCCUAGAUCAUGCAUAGUAGCAUUAAGAAAUUCACUACUUAUCUAUGAAUUAUAUAUGA
rnacentral:misc_RNA from 1 species